rnacentral:misc_RNA from 1 species
GUGGGAAAUGUAUGUUGGCCCGUCUUCAAUCAUUUUCUGCUUUUCGAAGAUGGGGCAACUCUGAGCAGAGUUCUUUGGCACGCCGAGCAUAGUUGUUAAUACAACGGGUUGAAGGGAUCUAUAAAGCAGCCUCUUUAAUAAUCUACUUCUCUUUCUUUGUACAGGAAGGAAUUGCUACUCUUGCUUCUUCCCGUUCUCAAUUCAUCAUCCAUCAAGAAUUUUCUUCUUCCAUUCUCAAAGGAUAAAU